rnacentral:rRNA from 1 species
UACGGGGGGGGCAAGCGUUGUUCGGAAUUACUGGGCGUAAAGGGCUCGUAGGUGGCCAACUAAGUCGGACGUGAAAUCCCUCAGCUUAACUGGGGAACUGCGUCUGAUACUGGAUGGCUUGAGUUUGGGAGAGGGAUGCGGAAUUCCAGGUGUAGCGGUGAAAUGCGUAGAUAUCUGGAGGAACACCGGUGGCGAAGGCGGCAUCCUGGACCAACACUGACGCUGAACAGCGAAAGCCAGGGGAGCAAACGGG